GGAAUAUUGCACAAUGGGCGAAAGCCUGAUGCAGCGACGCCGCGUGGGUGAUGAAGGCUUUCGGGUCGUAAAACCCUUUUCUGCGUGACGCGCCAAGGACGGUAGCGCAGGAAUAAGUCUCGGCUACCUACGUGCCAUCAGCCGCGGUAAGACGUAGGAGGCAAGCGUUAUCCGGAGUUACUGGGCGUAAAGCGCGUGUAGGCGGAUUGGUAAGUGGUUCGUGAAGUAUCCGGGCUAAACUCGGAGGGGACGAAUCAGACUGCUAGUCUGGAGGCGGGUAGAGGGGUGCGGAAUUCCGGGUGUAGCGGUGAAAUGUGUAGAUAUCCGGAGGAACACCAGAGGUGCAGACGGCGCCCUGGGCCCGACCUGACGCUGAGACGCGAAAGCUUGGGGAGCGAAC
rnacentral:rRNA from 1 species